rnacentral:tRNA from 1 species
UAUCUAAAGAUUAAUUAAUCACCCUAAUAUCUUCAAUAUUAUACUCUAAACUUAAGCUAUUUAAAU